AUAUGAAGAAGAAAAGAGGGAUUUUUGACGGAGAGGAGACGGAUUGGGCAAAAUGGACGGUAACACUACGGAGGCUGAGCGGUGGCUGAGCAUAGCGGAGAAGCUAUUGGCGACGCGUGAUUUGCACGGGACCCGAACCUUCGCGAUCCGAGCCCGUGAAUCGGCUCCUAUCCUCGCCGACCAAAUACUUGCGGUGACGGACACUCUCUUAACGGCACAAUCUAAUCCUCAAGAUUGGUACGGGAUCCUCCAACUCGUGCCGUUAACUCAGUCCAUGGAAGUGGUGGCGAGUCAGUAUAGGAAACUCGCUCUUCUUUUGAAUCCUGGGAGGAACAGGCUCUCUUUCGCAGAUCAGGCGUUUCGAUUCGUUUGUGAAGCUUGGAAUGUGUUGUCGAACCCUUCUAAGAAGGCCAUUUAUGAUAACGAGUUGAGGUUCCUUCAGCAUGGUCAGGUGAGUCAACCCGGUCAACAACAACAACAACAGCCACCGCUUCAGCAACAGCAACAAGAGCAGCAGCCGCAGACGCUGUUCAUGCAAUCGCAGCCACCUCCUGCGCCGAAGGAAACCCAAACGCUGUUUAUGCAAACUCCGCAGAAAGAGACGCCGACGCAAGUUACUCAACCGCUAUUCACGAGAAGAAGCCCUAGAAAUACUGAUAGAGACGGGAAUGCUGAUUUGGGAGGAGGCGGGCAGUCGGGUCUCAAUAACAAGCCGCCGGAUCAAAAUCGGUCGGCGGAGCCGAUAUGGAGGAGGCAGAUGAAUCAGAUUGGUUUAGGUGGGACAAGUCAGGUUAGACAGUCGGGAUCAGUCGAUUCCAGCCAAAUUAAUCAAAUAAGAACCGAUAACUCGAGUCAGUUUAAUCGGGCUGAGCCAGCUCGUACGAGUCAAAUUAAUCAGACCACAACUCCUCCUCCUCCUAGGGCGGAUAGUCAGACACAGUCAACUAAUGUGACUCAGCCUAGAGAAGCCACUGAGGCAGAAGGGCUGACAUUUUGGACAGCUUGUCCGUACUGUUACGUUCUCUAUGAGUAUCCAAAGUUGUAUGAGGAUUGUACAAUGAGGUGCCAGACUAAGAACUGCAGGAGGGCUUUUCAUGCAGUUGUGAUACCGUCGCCGCCAGUAAAUGGAAAGGACACGCAUUUCAGCUGCUGGGGGUUUUUCCCGUUAGGAUUUUCUAGGGGCGGUAAUUUUCCUAGUUGGUCACCUAUUUCAACCAUGUUUGCUUGCCCUAGUAACCAGAAUGCUGCAAAACAAAAUACUGCCAAAAAGUCUGCUCCAAGAGUGUAUUACGAUGAUGAUGAUGUAUAUGAAGAGAUUUCUGACUCAAUUGGGACUUAUGAUGAUGAUGAUGAUGAUUGGCAGAAUGAGAAGAGGAAGAAGGGGAAGAAUGCUAAAGGGAAAGUGUCUGUGGGGAGAAAUGUCAAGAAACCACAGAGUGAGGGAGUGAAGCAGCCGACUAAUGAGAACGCUAAUGUUGAUCACAGUGGGAAUUUGAUUUGUGUGUCCACGGUGCCUGAUGGUGUGCCAACUGCUGAAUCGAGCCGAAGGGGGGUUGUUAAUAGUGGGGGGAAGCAGAUGGGAAAGGUGGCAAAGAAUUUGGGGAAGUUGGAUUUGAAUGUGGAGUUUAGCAAUGAAAUUGAAGAACCUGCGCCGAGGAGGAAUGAGGGAAAUCAAGACGGCUAUGGGGAGGAGGAUAACAUUGAAGGGAAUGGGUUCUUUGAGGGUCUUGAUGAGUUUUUGAAUAGCUUACCUAUACUUUCGGCUGUUGGGGAUGAUAAAGUUAAGGCUACUUAGUGAAGAUAAUUUGAAAGUUCAGUACAAAAUCAUGAUAAUCUAUGGAUUGAAGAUGGAAUGUUCUGUCCACCAUGAUUCUGGCGGUGGCAGGAAUUGGUGGCUUCUAUUUGUCGUACAAUCGAAUUAGUGAGCAGGACAUGUUGUAAUGAGAAGUGCUUUGCCUGUUGUAUAACUUUUUAUUAGAAUCCUUUUCUUUACUUUGUAUGGGGUUUUGGAUUGUUGUAAUCUACUCUUAAGGGCAUUGUAUGAUGCUGGUCUGGGAAGGCGUCACAUGUACUCUGAUUGUGAACUACGCUUUACCUGUCAAAAACUAGAAGCUGCCUCAGGAUCUUUGUAGUGGUCAAAUGUUGCUGAGCUUAAGAUGCUGCGAAUAUGUCCAAAGGCAGUAGAUGGAUCACAGAGCACUUGGGAUAUGUUGGAGGGCUUUCUUUUCUGUCUACCAUUCUAAACAAUUGAAGAGUGUAAAGACUUAUUGCUGUCUACUUCAAGGGCGAAAAAGGUACAUUAUCCA